ACAAUUGUAGAGGAGAUAGACUCAUAGAGUGUUCUGACACAAAACACGAGGGUGAGAGAUGUUUAGAAAGCAUACGUUCGUAUUCAUUAUGCACACAUUGAAUAUCAAUAUUUAUUAAUUCAUAUGUUCAGUACCAAUAAAUUCAUGAAUUCCUCUCCGAAAAGCAUACAAGAAAAUAUUUUAAAAAAUAAAAAAUAAAAAAAAUUAAAUACCAUAACAACUCAUAUCUUUCUCUUUCUAAUUCAAAUAUUCUUCAACUUCUCUG
rnacentral:lncRNA from 1 species